CAGCAGCCGCGGGAAUACGAAGGGUGCAAGCGUUAAUCGGAAUUACUGGGCGUAAAGCGUGCGUAGGCGGUGAGUUAAGUCUGCUGUGAAAUCCCCGGGCUCAACCUGGGAAUGGCAGUGGAUACUGGCUCGCUAGAGUGUGUCAGAGGAUGGUGGAAUUCCCGGUGUAGCGGUGAAAUGCGUAGAGAUCGGGAGGAACAUCAGUGGCGAAGGCGGCCACCUGGGACAACACUGACGCUGAGGCACGAAAGCGUGGGGAGCAAACAGGAUUAGAUACCCCCGUAGUCCCUGUCUCUUAUAA
rnacentral:rRNA from 1 species